rnacentral:tRNA from 1 species
GGGCGCAUGGCUCAGCUGGUUAGAGCGCCGCGUUCACAUCGCGGAGACCGCUGGUUCGAGUCCAGCUGCGCCCACCA